rnacentral:rRNA from 1 species
UACGAAGGGGGCUAGCGUUGCUCGGAAUCACUGGGCGUAAAGGGUGCGUAGGUGGGUCUUUAAGUCAGGGGUGAAAUCCUGGAGCUCAACUCCAGAACUGCCUUUGAUACUGGGAAGCUUGAGUCCGGGAGAGGUGAGUGGAACUCCGAGUGUAGAGGUGAAAUUCGUAGAUAUUCGGAAGAACACCAGUGGCGAAGGCGGCUCACUGGCCCGGUACUGACGCUGAGGUGCGAAAGCGUGGGGAGCAAACAGG